AUUGAACGCUGGCGGCAUGCUUUACACAUGCAAGUCGAACGGCAGCGCGGGCUUCGGCCUGGCGGCGAGUGGCGAACGGGUGAGUAAUACAUCGGAACGUGCCCAGUAGUGGGGGAUAGCUCGGCGAAAGCCGGAUUAAUACCGCAUACGACCUGAUGGUGAAAGCGGGGGAUCUUCGGACCUCGCGCUAUUGGAGCGGCCGAUGGCAGAUUAGCUAGUUGGUGGGGUAAAGGCCUACCAAGGCGGCGAUCUGUAGCUGGUCUGAGAGGACGACCAGCCACACUGGGACUGAGACAGGGCCCAGACUCCUACGGGAGGCAGCAGUGGGGAAUUUUGGACAAUGGGCGGAAGCCUGAUCCAGCAAUGCCGCGUGUGUGAUGAAGGCCUUCGGGUUGUGAAGCACUUUUGGCGGGAACGAAAAGGACUGUGCCAAUACCACGGUUCGAUGACGGUACCCGCAGAAUAAGCACCGGCUAACUACGUG
rnacentral:rRNA from 1 species